UACGUAGGGUGCGAGCGUUAAUCGGAAUUACUGGGCGUAAAGCGUGCGCAGGCGGUUCGUUGUGUCGGCGGUGAAAGCCCCGGGCUCAACCUGGGAAUGGCAUUCGGGACUGCAAGGCUGGAGUGCGGCAGAGGAGACUGGAAUUCCUGGUGUAGCAGUGAAAUGCGUAGAUAUCAGGAGGAAUACCGAUGGCGAAGGCAGGUCUCUGGGCUGACACUGACGCUCAUGCACGAAAGCGUGGGGAGCAAACAGG
rnacentral:rRNA from 1 species